ensembl:lncRNA
UGACGGCAUCGGAGCCCUCUGAUUGGACCGUGAGAUGCCAUUAGACCCUCCCCCUCCCUUGUGGAGUGGUGUCCUACUUGAGGUUGCGUCCCUGCAUAACAGCCAGUGGUCCCGAGGACACAGGUGCAUCGUGGGUAGGCAGGCAGCUCCUGAAGUCGGCACACUGGACCAUGGAGUCUCCUUUGUCUGCUACCAGAGUCCUGAGUGACAAAAGAGGGGGGUUACACCACUCCAGUCCCACUCCGUCGUGUCUCCAUGGCAACGCGUCUCACCAUGUCUCCAGCGAGGAGCUGAAGCAGUAGGACUUCCCGUUGGACAGGCCGAUGACCGGGACCCCCUGCUGGGUCAGCAGCGACUGGGACACCGUGGCGUCGGCACCUGUCACUCAAACGUGUAGAGAUGAAGAGUGAGACUGAGACGCUUCUACUGACGUCCUCUUCAUCACGUCUCUUCCUGCUCACCUGAUAAGAUGCUCAGCAGAGACUCGUUCUUCACCAGAGCUUUUUGCUUCUGAACGUCCCUGCAGAGAGAAACAGCUGGUCAGCUGAUCAACGAGAGCCGCCGGACGCCAUGCUGAGAACACGCCCCCCCUGCCCCCACCCCACAGAAACAUCUAAUCAGUAAAAAGAGUCACAAAAACAGUCACUGACCAGACGGACAGCGUCGCUCCGGCCGUCAGCGCCAUGACGAAGUGGGCGGAGCAGUGCAGGGCCGAGGUGGGCGUGGCCAGCUGGAUGGCCGGGAGGAGCCGCCGCCCACAAGAAGAGAAGACCGACAACAUCCUGUCCUGGCAGGCCACGGCGAGGACGUCGCUGGAGGGAAACACCGAUGCGUUCAAGUGUCCAUCCCUUUAACGUUGUGGGUGGAGCUACACGAGUAGCCUGUUCGGCCCUCAGACCCCUCCCCCUCCUCGAGGGUCUCGUACCUGCUCCCUGCUGCCGUGACCACUGAGCUGGGCAGCAGCGUGUUCCACUCCCGUCCGUCCCUGGAGCAGCGCAGCUGGCUGAGCUUGGACCCGGCGACCAGCGACACCUCGUUCUCCACCUCCAGGAACACCGGCGGCUCGGCGCUCACCUGCAGACGCCACACACCUCAGUCAAUGGGGGGCCGGGGGGCACAGACCCGUGUGGGAAAUGGAAAGUCUUUGUUGAGCUUGUUCUUCCUGUGAGCAUGGGGUCGUGGCCGGGCCUCAGCCCCAGGGAGGAGGAGGGGCCCGGGGAGGAGUCGGAGCUGAGCUGGGAGGUGAGCUGGUUGGACAUGGAGGAGCCCGAGGGCAGGAUGGGGGCGCUGUUGAAGAGCGCCGGGGAGAAGUCGCUGCAGAGAGAAGAAGAAGACGAUGAAGAUGAAGAUGAAGGGACGGUUAGCUGGUGUUAUUUUUCUUGGGUCUGAGCCCGCCGGGCCGCCAUAGUGUCUCCUGUGUCCUCCUACCCCGUGUCCAGCUGAGCGAUGCAGAGCGGCGUGAUCCGCCUCCGGCCGUCGGGGGUCCUCGUC